rnacentral:rRNA from 1 species
UCAAGUGAAUAAGUGCAUCAGGUGGAUGCCUUGGCGAUGAUAGGCGACGAAGGACGUGUAAGCCUGCGAAAAGCGUGGGGGAGCUGGCAAUAAAGCUAUGAUCCCGCGAUGUCCGAAUGGGGAAACCCACUGCAUUCUGUGCAGUAUCCUAAGUUGAAUACAUAGACUUAGAGAAGCGAACCCGGAGAACUGAACCAUCUAAGUACCCGGAGGAAAAGAAAUCAACCGAGAUUCCGCAAGUAGUGGCGAGCGAACGCGGAGGAGCCUGUACGUGAUAACUGUUGAGAUAGAAGAACAAGCUGGGAAGCUUGACCAUAGUGGGUGAUAGUCCCGUAUUCGAAAUCUCAACAGUGGUACUAAGCGUACGAAAAGUAGGGCGGGACACGUGAAAUCCUGUCUGAAUAUGGGGGGACCAUCCUCCAAGGCUAAAUACUCAUCAUCGACCGAUAGUGAACCAGUACCGUGAGGGAAAGGCGAAAAGAACCCCGGGAGGGGAGUGAAAUAGAACCUGAAACCUGAUGCAUACAAACAGUGGGAGCACCCUUGUGGUGUGACUGCGUACCUUUUGUAUAAUGGGUCAACGACUUACAUUCAGUAGCGAGCUUAACCGAAUAGGGGAGGCGUAGGGAAACCGAGUCUUAAUAGGGCGAACAGUUGCUGGGUGUAGACCCGAAACCGAGUGAUCUAUCCAUGGCCAGGUUGAAGGUGCCGUAACAGGUACUGGAGGACCGAACCCACGCAUGUUGCAAAAUGCGGGGAUGAGCUGUGGAUAGGGGUGAAAGGCUAAACAAACUCGGAGAUAGCUGGUUCUCCCCGAAAACUAUUUAGGUAGUGCCUCGAGCAAGACACUGAUGGGGGUAAAGCACUGUUAUGGCUAGGGGGUUAUUGCAACUUACCAACCCAUGGCAAACUAAGAAUACCAUCAAGUGGUUCCUCGGGAGACAGACAGCGGGUGCUAACGUCCGUUGUCAAGAGGGAAACAACCCAGACCGCCAGCUAAGGUCCCAAAUGAUAGAUUAAGUGGUAAACGAAGUGGGAAGGCCCAGACAGCCAGGAUGUUGGCUUAGAAGCAGCCAUCAUUUAAAGAAAGCGUAAUAGCUCACUGGUCGAGUCGUCCUGCGCGGAAGAUGUAACGGGGCUCAAAUCUAUAACCGAAGCUGCGGAUGCUAGUUUACUAGCAUGGUAGGGGAGCGUUCUGUAGGCCGAUGAAGGUGCAUUGUAAAGUGUGCUGGAGGUAUCAGAAGUGCGAAUGUUGACAUGAGUAGCGAUAAAGCGGGUGAAAAGCCCGCUCGCCGAAAGCCCAAGGUUUCCUACGCAACGUUCAUCGGCGUAGGGUGAGUCGGCCCCUAAGGCGAGGCAGAAAUGCGUAGUCGAUGGGAAACAGGUUAAUAUUCCUGUACUUGAUUCAAAUGCGAUGUGGGGACGGAGAAGGUUAGGUUAGCAAGCUGUUGGAAUAGCUUGUUUAAGCCGGUAGGUGGAAGACUUAGGCAAAUCCGGGUCUUCUUAACACCGAGAAGUGACGACGAGUGUCUACGGACAUGAAGUAACCGAUACCACGCUUCCAGGAAAAGCCACUAAGCUUCAGUUUGAAUUGAACCGUACCGCAAACCGACACAGGUGGGCAGGAUGAGAAUUCUAAGGCGCUUGAGAGAACUCGGGAGAAGGAACUCGGCAAAUUGAUACCGUAACUUCGGGAGAAGGUAUGCCCUCUAAGGUUAAGGACUUGCUCCGUAAGCCCUGGAGGGUCGCAGAGAAUAGGUGGCUGCGACUGUUUAUUAAAAACACAGCACUCUGCUAACACGAAAGUGGACGUAUAGGGUGUGACGCCUGCCCGGUGCUGGAAGGUUAAUUGAAGAUGUGAGAGCAUCGGAUCGAAGCCCCAGUAAACGGCGGCCGUAACUAUAACGGUCCUAAGGUAGCGAAAUUCCUUGUCGGGUAAGUUCCGACCCGCACGAAAGG